UUCCGAUUUAUUUAUCACAUACGCAGAGAAACAUACAGUGAAAUGCACUGCCAACGCAUCGAAGGAUGUACUGAGGGCAGCCCGCAAGCAUCGCCACACAUGCCGCCGCCAACAUAGCAUGCCCACAAUGUUGCAGUCUUGUUCACAAACACUGUCAUAAUGAUGGAACAUGUAGUGCACACGUAAGCAUGUCCUAUCAAUGUAACAUCGGACCCACAGACAUGAUGAAGCUAUGAACCGCCGAAAGGAUACGUUCCCAAUGACUGAAGAACAGGCACGUUCUACUCAUACAGUCCCUGGUGCACAAUGCUGUCCAUCCCAUUAGAUUCCGCUCGAUUUGAACAAGACUCUGAAUCAGCAGCCACAAAUUUUCGUCUGUGCUUAAACAAUGAACUCAGCAUCUCAUUGCCCUGCAGCUAUGUACACACACUGCAGUAAAACUUACUCCUUCAGAUCUCUUUAUCUUUGUUCACUGCUGCUUUUUCAUUUUGCCUUCUUCCCAGCUACAUAUCUCCUCUAUUUGUUUAUCCUCUUCUCUCAUUUCAUCUCUCUGUCCUCACUUUUCAUUCCAUUGGCGAUUUCUUUCUUUACCUGCUUUUUCUUUAAUUACAUUCCUUUGUCUCUCCAGGAACAUCGAUUUCCUUGCACUUUGCACGGCAUUGGAAUGUCCGGGAAGGAGUCAGGGAGCCAAGUGGUCAUUCGAUGCGUUCGGAGUGAGACAAACGGCCAAAGAAAAGCACGGGAGGAGGAAUUUGUAAAUCCAAGGUUAUAAUCCCUUUAUGGGGCUCAGGUGCUGCCUGACCUGCUGAGUUUCUUCAGCAUUUUGUGUGUGUUACCUAACCUGCAAAGCAUUAAAGCAGGUCGCCAGAAAUACUCCACCACCAAACGAACUGCAGAUUGACAGCAACCUCCUGGACUUGUGCAUUUUCUCAUGGUUGGCUUCUAUGAUCCGAACAGGAAUCAAGGAACCCAACAUCAUCAGG